rnacentral:rRNA from 1 species
UACGUAGGGGGCAAGCGUUGUCCGGAUUUACUGGGUGUAAAGGGUGCUCAGGUGGCUUUGUAAGUCAGCGGUGAAAUCUUAGAGCUCAACUCUGAAACUGCCGUUGAUACUACUUGGCUUGAGUAUGGAAGAGGUUGAUGGAAUUUCAGGUGUAGCAGUGAAAUGCGUAGAUAUCUGAAAGAACACCAGUGGCGAAGGCGGUCAACUGGUCCAUUACUGACACUAAAGCACGAAAGCGUGGGGAGCGAACAGG